UCUGCCCAGUGUUAAAUUUAUAAACGGCCGUUUGUACGCUAAGGUAGCAUAAUCAGUUGUUCCUUAAUUAGGGACUAGAAUGAAGGGGAUCAUAUGGAUGAGCUUUUUUCAUUUAAAAUCUAAAAAUUAAACUCCUUAUGAAAAUGUAAGGAUUUCAGUUAAAGACCAAAAGACCCUAAUGAGCUUAAAUUUAGGAAGACUUAUUUUUAAUAAAUUUUUAUUGGGGGGGUAAGGGAUAUACAUCCUUAUUAUAAUUUAAACCUUUAAAAACUAAAGUGUAGUUACCAUAGGGAUAACAGGCCUAAAUUUUUUAAGAGUUCACAUUAACAAGAAAAUUUGGCACCUCGAUGUUGGCUUAAGAUAAACCCUAGGUGUAGAAGUUUAGGUAUAAGGCUU
rnacentral:rRNA from 1 species